GGACGUAACGGCGGUAUCAGCGUCGGUACGGCGGCCUCAGCUUCCAGCGGCAGCAGGCGGAAGAGUGACUACUGAGGCAGGGCACGCAGCACAGCGAACGACCGCGCCUCCGCACCGUGCACCCCACUCUCCCCGGCACCGCGCAGGCCCGGCCAGUCACGCGGUGCUUGUUUUCCGGGGGGACCCGCAGUUGAGUGGAGGUCAAGUGUUUCCGUUGUAGAGCUCAUUCUGCUCCAACUCCCUGCCACGGGCACCUUUUUCUAGAAUAGUUUUGUGUCUUAUUUGCUCUCCUCAGUCCUUCAACCUUACAGGCAAGGGUGGAUUUAAGGAAGUAUUGUAAAACCUUAUCCAAGCAGAACAUGCAGACUGACCAGAGGCAGCCAAGUGAAAACAAGAGAAUACUGGCAUCCACAUAAUGGUUGGGGCCUGUCCAAAGAACAGACAGGUGAAAAGGACAAAGCAAGGAAGACUUCUUAUUUCAUCUGAGAAAGACUGCUUACUUCAUCAGGACGACCACCAGAGGGGGGCUGUGCAAGCGCAGAAGAGGCUGAUGUAAUGGACUGAUGAGGCAAUCCCUGAUGCAUAUGUAUUAGUUAAGGUAGCAAUUUAUGUUGAAUAUGCAUUAAUUGCAAAACUUUUGAUGUAUAAAUUGUGAACGCGAUGUGACGGGGUCGAAGCCAGAUUUGGGCAAGUGCCCCUGGUUUCCCAGCGCUGCAAUAAAGCACCUCAUAAAACCAU